AUGUGGCGAGUUGAUGCAGAAUGUAUUUCCAACCUUUUGACAUUUGAACACCUGAAGUUGAUGUGCAUUAACCCUCAGAUCAAUUCACCACCUGCUCAUGAUCUUCAAGUCGUAGAGCAAAAUCCUCUCGAGUAUUGGCCGCAUGCAGUUCCUUUGGCAGAUAAAAGAAUUCAUCAAAUCCCGUUUGCAUACAGCUUAACAAAUAUCUUGCCAAAGUGUCAGCAAGCAGAGCUACUCUUCUCAUCUUUAAUUCAAGAUAUCUCUCAACAUCACGAAUCAAAGAUAAUUGUUGAUGCUCCAAAUAACCUCCUGCUUGACAUCCUAUUUGAAGAGCUGAAAACAAUGCAUGACAGAGAACUCUUAUUGAAUGAAACGGACUCUAAGCGACUUAUUGACCUCAUCAUUCAACGCGAGAGAGACCAUAAAGAUCAUCCACUCUUGUUCACCGCAAGUUUUGCAAAAUCAUCCACCAACUUCGAGGAAUCAGGUAGCUCUGACAAAAGGAAGUUUUCUGAAAGUGAAUCAACAGAUACUGGGGAUAGAGACCCAGUCAACAGUGACUGGACACGGAUGAUCUUAUGGGCCAUUGAAGCUGAUUCUGCAGCCGCGUCUCAUUUAAAUGAGAGAGAUGCAUCAAGAGAUAGAACCAAAAAUCUAGGGGGCUCUGAGUGUAGCGGGGUUAAACCAGGCUCGCAAAAAUCUCACUCCAAGCACCCAUCAUGCGCCCAAUCCUCCAGGAGCCUAGAAUCACCAGUGCCCAUGUGGCGCUGCUAUGUAAAGACGGUAAACGCUGGGCAGUGUCUACUCACCUUUAUUCCAGCUUCAUUCAGGGAUGUCAAACUUUUAAUGCUUGAGCAAGAAUUGAAAGAUUUCAAACUAACCGGAACUUGCUCUGAUCCAGGGAGUUCCCUGUCCAUGGUUCACUCUCAACAAACAGAUGCGUCUUCCAAGCAGCUUUUAGAGUCACACCUCAACUCUGCAAGUGAUCUGUUUCUGUCAAAUAUGCCAAACUUAGAAGAUAAUCAGUCGAGGAAACUGAUGAAUAGUUCUUUGUACAAUUCUCCGUCAUCGAGUAAAGGUUGGAUUUUGGACUCGUCAGACCCUGAUAAUGGAGUAUUUGACUCUAACAGCACGUCUGGUUGGGACAUGUACAACAACCAUUUAGUACCUGAGUCUCCAUUUCGGCUGAGAGCAAGUUCAUGGGACCCUGUCAAAAAAGGCACGCAAGAAUCAAUGAGAAUGCAGAUGUAUACCAGGGCAAGGACUUGCUCUGUUGGAGCUAAAACCAAGCUUUGGAUUGAAGAGAAAAUGAAAAAAUCCGUCGAUUCUUUAAUCCAGUCUAAAUCCUCAGUUCAUCCAGAACUUAUUUCUACAGCCAUAACCAUCCCAGUUUAUAUCUACGACUGUCCGGUCACCAAUUUAAUCGAUGCCUUAAUUCUGAAAGAUGAGUACAUCAAACCAUUUUGUGAUGUUUUUCAAGAUAAGUGCAGUAAUUUUGAUGAAGAGCCCGCACCUAACCAGUUAAUGAGUCAUGAACCCUCUUGCCGUCUCUUGAGCCCAGAGGAUAAAUCAGAAGACUCCGAUAUAGGUCCAGAUGAAACUUGUUUGAAACUCCAUUGCCAUGCAAUCACCCAAGUUUACAAGAAAUGUUUCGUGAAAUCACUUUUCAAGUCACUACAUCUUGGCUACAAAAUCAACUCCAGAGAUAUUCAAGAAGCUGUUGACCAGUGCCACAAAGCAAAGGCUCUCAUCAAUAUCACUCAUUACAUAAAGAUUGUUUGUGGCCAUUUACGGGAAUACUAUGCACACACUGAUACAAAAAAAGAACCUCAAUUUGAAAAUGAGGAAGAGAUCCAGAAAUAUCCGCUGUCAGCAUUGAAAGCAUCCUCGGCUUGUCAGGAUUUGAAACCUUUACAUCGGCUAAUCAAAGAUAAAUUCAUGAAAAUUCUCCAUUCAAGCUUCAAGCAGGUUCCGUGUAAUCCGGACUUUUUCUUCUGCGCCCCUAACUGGGGCCCUGAAGCAAGACUGGUAAGUUCUUAA
rnacentral:lncRNA from 1 species